rnacentral:lncRNA from 1 species
CUCAAGGCGGAAGCGGCUGCCUGAAGGAACCGGCUCCCGAACGCCGCAAUGGCUGCGGGCGCGCCCUGUGCGUUGGUCACUAGCUGCUCCUCCACCUUCUCUGGGGACCGGCUGGUCCAACAUAUCCUUGGAACAGAAGAUCUUACUGUGGAAGUGACUUCCAAUGAUGCUGUGAGAUUCUAUCCCUGGACCAUUGAUAAUAAAUACUAUUCAGCGGACAUCAAUCUAUGUGUGGUACCAAACAAAUUUCUUGUUACUGCAGAGAUUGCAGAAUCUGUCCAAGCAUUUGUGGUUUACUUUGACAGCACACAAAAAUCAGGUCUUGAUAGUGUCUCCUCAUGGCUUCCACUGGCAGAAGCAUGGUUACCUGAGGUGAUGAUCUUGGUCUGUGAUAGAGUGUCAGAAGAUGGUAAGGCAUAUGGUUGGGAUAGUAGUUGGUACAUGCAUUUGCCAUUCCUUGGUAGACAGAGUACAUCUGUUUCCUUAACUUAGGACAGUACAUUCCAUGUGACUUUAUUGCUUUAUGAAAGUAUUUUCAGCUAUUUUUCUUUGGAA